UAGAGGGGGUGCAAGCGUUAAUCGGAAUCACUGGGCGUAAAGGGCGCGUAGGUGGGAGUUUAAGUCAGAUGUGAAAGCCCUGGGCUUAACCUAGGAAUUGCAUUUGAUACUGGACUGUCUAGAGUGAGGUAGAGGGUAGUGGAAUUCCCGGUGUAGCGGUCAAAUGCGUAGAUAUCGGGAAGAACACCGGUGGCGAAGGCGGCUACCUGGACCUUAACUGACAAUGAGGCGCGAAAGCGUGGGUAGCGAACAGG
rnacentral:rRNA from 1 species